AGCGUACACGGUGGAUGCCCUGGCAGUCAGAGGCGAUGAAGGACGUGCUAAUCUGCGAUAAGCGUCGGUAAGGUGAUAUGAACCGUUAUAACCGGCGAUUUCCGAAUGGGGAAACCCAGUGUGAUUCGUCACACUAUCAUUAACUGAAUCCAUAGGUUAAUGAGGCGAACCGGGGGAACUGAAACAUCUAAGUACCCCGAGGAAAAGAAAUCAACCGAGAUUCCCCCAGUAGCGGCGAGCGAACGGGGAGCAGCCCAGAGCCUGAAUCAGUGUGUGUGUUAGUGGAAGCGUCUGGAAAGGCGCGCGAUACAGGGUGACAGCCCCGUACACAAAAAUGCACAUAUUGUGAGCUCGAUGAGUAGGGCGGGACACGUGGUAUCCUGUCUGAAUAUGGGGGGACCAUCCUCCAAGGCUAAAUACUCCUGACUGACCGAUAGUGAACCAGUACCGUGAGGGAAAGGCGAAAAGAACCCCGGCGAGGGGAGUGAAAAAGAACCUGAAACCGUGUACGUACAAGCAGUGGGAGCCUCUUUAUGGGGUGACUGCGUACCUUUUGUAUAAUGGGUCAGCGACUUAUAUUCUGUAGCAAGGUUAACCGAAUAGGGGAGCCGAAGGGAAACCGAGUCUUAACUGGGCGUUAAGUUGCAGGGUAUAGACCCGAAACCCGGUGAUCUAGCCAUGGGCAGGUUGAAGGUUGGGUAACACUAACUGGAGGACCGAACCGACUAAUGUUGAAAAAUUAGCGGAUGACUUGUGGCUGGGGGUGAAAGGCCAAUCAAACCGGGAGAUAGCUGGUUCUCCCCGAAAGCUAUUUAGGUAGCGCCUCGUGAAUUCAUCUCCGGGGGUAGAGCACUGUUUCGGCAAGGGGGUCAUCCCGACUUACCAACCCGAUGCAAACUGCGAAUACCGGAGAAUGUUAUCACGGGAGACACACGGCGGGUGCUAACGUCCGUCGUGAAGAGGGAAACAACCCAGACCGCCAGCUAAGGUCCCAAAGUCAUGGUUAAGUGGGAAACGAUGUGGGAAGGCCCAGACAGCCAGGAUGUUGGCUUAGAAGCAGCCAUCAUUUAAAGAAAGCGUAAUAGCUCACUGGUCGAGUCGGCCUGCGCGGAAGAUGUAACGGGGCUAAACCAUGCACCGAAGCUGCGGCAGCGACGCUUAUGCGUUGUUGGGUAGGGGAGCGUUCUGUAAGCCUGUGAAGGUGGCCUGUGAGGGUUGCUGGAGGUAUCAGAAGUGCGAAUGCUGACAUAAGUAACGAUAAAGCGGGUGAAAAGCCCGCUCGCCGGAAGACCAAGGGUUCCUGUCCAACGUUAAUCGGGGCAGGGUGAGUCGACCCCUAAGGCGAGGCCGAAAGGCGUAGUCGAUGGGAAACAGGUUAAUAUUCCUGUACUUGGUGUUACUGCGAAGGGGGGACGGAGAAGGCUAUGUUGGCCGGGCGACGGUUGUCCCGGUUUAAGCGUGUAGGCUGGUUUUCCAGGCAAAUCCGGAAAAUCAAGGCUGAGGCGUGAUGACGAGGCACUACGGUGCUGAAGCAACAAAUGCCCUGCUUCCAGGAAAAGCCUCUAAGCAUCAGGUAACAUCAAAUCGUACCCCAAACCGACACAGGUGGUCAGGUAGAGAAUACCAAGGCGCUUGAGAGAACUCGGGUGAAGGAACUAGGCAAAAUGGUGCCGUAACUUCGGGAGAAGGCACGCUGAUGCGUAGGUGAAGCGACUUGCUCGUGGAGCUGAAAUCAGUCGAAGAUACCAGCUGGCUGCAACUGUUUAUUAAAAACACAGCACUGUGCAAACACGAAAGUGGACGUAUACGGUGUGACGCCUGCCCGGUGCCGGAAGGUUAAUUGAUGGGGUCAGCCGCAAGGCGAAGCUCUUGAUCGAAGCCCCGGUAAACGGCGGCCGUAACUAUAACGGUCCUAAGGUAGCGAAAUUCCUUGUCGGGUAAGUUCCGACCUGCACGAAUGGCGUAAUGAUGGCCAGGCUGUCUCCACCCGAGACUCAGUGAAAUUGAACUCGCUGUGAAGAUGCAGUGUACCCGCGGCAAGACGGAAAGACCCCGUGAACCUUUACUAUAGCUUGACACUGAACAUUGAGCCUUGAUGUGUAGGAUAGGUGGGAGGCUUUGAAGCGUGGACGCCAGUCUGCGUGGAGCCGACCUUGAAAUACCACCCUUUAAUGUUUGAUGUUCUAACGUGGACCCGUGAUCCGGGUUGCGGACAGUGUCUGGUGGGUAGUUUGACUGGGGCGGUCUCCUCCUAAAGAGUAACGGAGGAGCACGAAGGUUGGCUAAUCCUGGUCGGACAUCAGGAGGUUAGUGCAAUGGCAUAAGCCAGCUUGACUGCGAGCGUGACGGCGCGAGCAGGUGCGAAAGCAGGUCAUAGUGAUCCGGUGGUUCUGAAUGGAAGGGCCAUCGCUCAACGGAUAAAAGGUACUCCGGGGAUAACAGGCUGAUACCGCCCAAGAGUUCAUAUCGACGGCGGUGUUUGGCACCUCGAUGUCGGCUCAUCACAUCCUGGGGCUGAAGUAGGUCCCAAGGGUAUGGCUGUUCGCCAUUUAAAGUGGUACGCGAGCUGGGUUUAGAACGUCGUGAGACAGUUCGGUCCCUAUCUGCCGUGGGCGCUGGAGAACUGAGGGGGGCUGCUCCUAGUACGAGAGGACCGGAGUGGACGCAUCACUGGUGUUCGGGUUGUCAUGCCAAUGGCACUGCCCGGUAGCUAAAUGCGGAAGAGAUAAGUGCUGAAAGCAUCUAAGCACGAAACUUGCCCCGAGAUGAGUUCUCCCUGACUCCUUGA
rnacentral:rRNA from 1 species